rnacentral:lncRNA from 1 species
UGUUAAUGUAGGAAAGAAGAAAGAAAGUAAACUAAAGGUGGAACAGGGAUAGUAGUGGAACCAGGACAGGCAGAAGACUGUAGAUUAUAAAUUUAACACCAUAACAAAGAAUUUGUGCUUCAGCUUUCUUCCCAGAAUAUUUUCAUCUAUCUAUGCUAUACCAAAUUUUGUAAUACAGUUCUUUUCACAAGUGGCCUAAGAGGAUAUCAGAAGGCAGCAGAAGAUUCCACCUGAAAAUGGCAUAAUAUGUGGGUACAUCAGAAGUCUCUAUCAAGAGAAUGGGGCAGAGCUAUUACUGCACAACAUGAUAGACAAAAAAGAAAAAAAAAACCACAACGUGAAGGUUUCCAUAGCAGAGAAGAACUUCUAAUGGGGAACUCCAGCGGGAUAAGAGAUAUGCAAUUCAAAGAUGAAAACUUCAGUGACACAAAAGGUUUAUUUCCUUGGUAUCUAAUUUUGUUCCACUUGUUGAAUAUGCAGCUGGAGUGUAUCAUGUGUGCUCCUAGGGCCUUCAAUGUAGCAGUUUCUCCACCUCCUAAGUACAAUUCAAAUAGAAGCACUAAAAAAGAAAGAAAAGAAGAAACCAUCAGCUUGUAAGUACUCACUAAAAACAACAAACUCCUGGGAAGCAACAGGAUUUUUCCUUUGAAAAAAAUGACAGUAGGAGUCUGACAAUCUGUUCUGCAUAUCUUCAC